rnacentral:rRNA from 1 species
UACAGAGGUCCCAAGCGUUGUUCGGAUUUACUGGGCGUAAAGGGUGCGUAGGUGGUUGGGUAAGUUUGAUGUGAAAUCUCCGGGCUUAACCCGGAAAUGGCAUUGAAUACUAUUCGGCUAGAGGUUUGGAGGGGGGACUGGAAUUCUUGGUGUAGCAGUGAAAUGCGUAGAUAUCAAGAGGAACACCAGUGGCGAAGGCGAGUCCCUGGACAACACCUGACACUGAGGCACGAAAGCUAGGGUAGCGAACAGG